rnacentral:rRNA from 1 species
UACGUAGGGUGCGAGCGUUAAUCGGAAUUACUGGGCGUAAAGCGUGCGCAGGCGGUUCGACAAGUCUGAUGUGAAAUCCCCGGGCUCAACCUGGGAACUGCGUUGGAAACUGUCGGGCUAGAGUGUAGAAGAGGGGGGUAGAAUUCCACGUGUAGCAGUGAAAUGCGUAGAGAUGUGGAGGAAUACCGAUGGCGAAGGCAGCCCCUGGGCUAACACUGACGCUCAUGCACGAAAGCGUGGGGAGCAAACAGGAUUAGAAACCCUGGUAGU